rnacentral:lncRNA from 1 species
CAAAUGGCUAUGGAAAUUCACAGGUGAAGAAAUAAUUUCCUAACAGAAUGAUCAGGGAAGGUUUCGCAGGUGGAUGAAUAGGAUUUCACGUGUGCAUGUAUUUGGAGUUCUUUGCAAAUGUGAAGAGAGACUGUAACGAGGUUGAUGAGUAUAUGUUCUUGGUUUCCAGCAACAGUAGGUAGAGAAUAGGUUUAAAAUACACCAGAGAAAUUUGGGGUAAGAUAUGAAAAGCAGCUUCCUGAUUCUAUGGACAGUGAAACACUGGAAGACACAAGAAAACUUAUAAAGUUUACAACCUUUUUAGGUUGAAGAUUAGACAAUUAUAUACGUGUGAUGGUUUAAAAUUAGUGCUUUGUACAAGCAAGUAAAUGGGACUAGAGGAAUGCUUGCCUUUUCAUUCCACGGCAUGCUGCACUUGCCUCCUUGGAUGUCUUCCAUAAACAAUUAUAACAAUUUUUGAAAGGGAAUUAAUCUUUUCCCCCUUACCACCCUAAACUAGCUCUUCCUCCUGGGUUAUCCAUCUCGAUGAAUGACUGCACCAACCACCUGCCCAAGGUCAGGAUCUUUGGUGCUCUUCUCUCUUUCACUUCCCACAUCCAAAGUGCCAUUAAGUCCUAGUUGUUCUACCUCCUGAAUCUCUUGUUUUCCCACUUCUCUCCAACCCCACAGGCACUUCCCUAGUUCAGUUCCCCAUCAUCUCUCCCUAAAGUACCAUAUUAGCCUCCAAAGUGAUCUGACUGUUUGCAGGUUUGUUCCCCUACAAACCAUUUCCCCAAAUCUGACCAAUCAUUCUAAAAUAGCCUUCUCUAAAAAGCCUCCUUCAAGUGGCUUUCUGAUGCUUAGAAUGAAAUCCAAAUACUGUACCAUGGCUUAUAGGACUUGUCAAAGAUUUGCCUCUACUCCAUAUUCACCACUCUAUACUCCAACCACAAACUCAACUGCUUGCUACUUUCCACAUUCUCAUUUCCAUUUUUCUGGCUUUGUUUGUAUGUAAUGUUUCCUCCUUCACGAGCAAUUCUUACUCAUCGUUCAGGUAACAGUCUUU